rnacentral:rRNA from 1 species
GACGAACCGAGCGAACGUUGUUCGGAAUCACUGGGCUUAAAGGGCGCGUAGGCGGGCAAGCAAGUCCGGGGUGAAAGCUUUCGGCUCAACCGGAAAAGGGCCUUGGAUACUGCUUGUCUGGAGGGAGGUAGGGGCCCGUGGAACUCCGGUGGAGCGGUGAAAUGCGUUGAUAUCGGAAGGAACGCCGGUGGCGAAAGCGACGGGCUGGAUCUCUACUGACGCGUGAGGCGCGAAAGCCCAGGGGGAGGCAAAACGGGG